rnacentral:lncRNA from 1 species
AUAUAUGUAUUUAAAGUUCUGCACGGCUAUGAAAUCCAAUGUCCUGGUACAGUUCAUUGGAAUGUGCGUGCAAAGGAUUUUUGCAUUUUGGAGUUGAAAUAUAUCUGUCUCUAUGAUGAUGUAAAGGCAAACACCACAGAGAGCUGUAGUGGGCCUUUGGCAACUAUUGCAAAAGGUAAAAGAAUAUUUUUAAUACCAUUUGAAUAUGUGAUUGGGUUUGUUUGACACUAACGCCUACCAUUUUGUUUUAUUGUAUAUAUCGUUUUUAUUAUCAUAACCUUUAAAGCCAUACAUGUUACAAUAUAUUAAUUAUCGUUAAUAUAAAAAUCAUUUACAGGAACAUCAGUAAAUCCCAAAACUACAAAUACUAUGAUACAAUCAAAGUUAAUACUUGUUAAUUAGUUUUGCGUUCGAUCCCAAAACUAAACAACGACCGAGCAAUACAGGUUAACAAAACACAACCUCAUUAGUCAUCAUUAUAGAAAUAGUUUAAUUGUGUAUGCAUAUUGCAUCAGGUUUAUCAUAUACGGUAAAACUUCGUGAAAAUGAUGUACUUAUGUCUCAUCUAUUUUUACUAAAUUAAAAAAAAAUAAACCAAAGUAAAUAUCAGGCUUCCCAAAUACUAAUAAAUGUACACAACAAACGAAGCUGGUUUCAACUGUGUUCCAUUUUUGAAGAGCUGCACUGAAUUAUAAAAAAUAUGGACAACAACUUAUCAGCAAAAUUAUUAUAUAAAUGAAAUUCUUAUAUUACAAACAACCGUAAAAAGUUGUAUUACGUCCAAUGAAUCAAAAUUAAUUAAUAUAUUUUAAGUUGACAAUUUUGUAAUACAAUACAAUACAAUAUGCUUUAUUUUAGAAACACUCAGUCACAUUGACAUGUGAAACAAAGGUAAAUUACACAAUACAAUCACAUACAAUAAAGAAAUAAAUGAAAAACUUAGAAAGAAUACAUGGAUAUAGAAAUUACUUUACCUUAUAUUAAAUUUUUAAUAUCAGAAUAUUUUAGUAACUUUGAAAUGAAAAAAAUUUUUAAGUACGUUAAUAUUAGUCAAUGACAGUAGUCCUUUCAUUUUGCUUCACUCGAUAUUUACAUAGUACUCUGAAUAUGCUGAUUUCUGAUAUUUUUUACCUAAUAAAGAAUUACAUUCAAAUAAAUAAGUGGUAUUUCAUUGCCCAAUUGCAGUAAAACACAAAUACAGUGUCCCUCUCUUCUUUGGAAUGUUAUACACCAUCUCCCCAACUCUACUGGAAUUUUUGACCUUGCAACGCAUCUUAAUUUUGAAAUAUAUUAACGGUUCGAAUGGUGUUAAUUCUUAAAGAGAGAGUUUUCCUAGUCCAGGAUUGUUUUAAAGAAGUCGCAACAAUUCUCCUCUGGAUAGUUGUUCAAUUUGACUAUGCCACUGUUGAAUGCAUGAAUCUUUUAGUUUUCCUUUCAAGUAGAUUGUUUUAGUUGAUAUAUAUCUAAUGGUGAUUCGAGUCCAAACAUAGCUUAGCCGGCAUUGUCUAGGUCGAUUUUAAUAUAAUCCAUCACCAUUUGGAAAGUGUGAAUCAUCUUUUAAUUUUGAACAUAAUUGAUAAAGUAUCUGCUCAGUUUAUUUUCGUUGUGAGCAAGUUUGGUUUCCAAAAACAGCACGCUAUUCUCAUUUUAUUACGGUAUCUAUUGGUGAACGACAAGUUCUCAUAUGUCCAUAAAAUUUGGUGUCGCGACUCUAAUUUCAACUACAUUCCGGAAACGCAAAUGGACUUUUUCCAACAUGCUAAUUAUUUCCAAAUCCCCAAUCUCAACAUCCAUAUGUCCACGAAUUGGAAAGUACAAGUGCACACAAACAGUUGUAAUUGUAAGUCGACAGUAUAGAGAGAUUACGUAUCUUUUGAUAGAGACUAAAAAGAGCUUUCUGGCUUGUUCGCUAAGAUCGUUUCUUCGGCUGUUUGGCAAAUGAAACCAUUGUAAUAAAGUUUAGUCCUAAUAUGCGGAUAGAAUCUUGCAAUUUCAAAGACUGUAAAUCAUUUGAAACUUUGUAAUUUCUUGAUUUCCGUUUGCAAAACACAACAACCUUUGGUCUUGCGAUUAAUAACAUUUAACUUUCCAUCGGACACAGUAUCUUUCAAAAACAUUAAGCGCGUGUUGCAUGAUUCGCUGUUUCAGAUAUAAUAUAGUGUCAUCGCGUACAAAAGAAACGAAAAAGUUUACAUAGUAUAUAUGCAAAUGAUCUGUGCAAAUGUUCUUCGAUAAACCUUCAAGUUCUUGAACAUCAUUCCAUUCAAAGAAAGACUCCAGAUUUCGUUAGAUAAACAGCAAAUAAAAAGGGGAUAAGUUUUCUCCCUGUCUCACCUCCGAUUCUACAGUUAAAAACGGCUGACACUUCGUUCCAUUCCUUAAACGCAAAUUUAACAAUCACAUACAUACUUAUAUUACUUUAAAAAUUUUCCCAGAAAUAUUGCCUUUGUAUAUUUUAUCCCAUAAAGAUGUAUGAGAGAUUGGCAUCCAAAGCUCUCGAAAAAUCAAACAAAAGUGCAAAGAGUUUCUUUUCCAAGUGCCUUGAUAAAUCGAUAUUAAUGAAUGUAAUACAAAUAUUCUAUCCAAUGUACUAUAUCCUUUUCGAAACCUGUUGAGCCUCGGAAAAUCAGAUUGACCUCAGUUGACAGUUUCGCCCAAGUCUGUUUCAUUUAAAGAUAGAUGUGAAAGUUUUCCCAAUACAUGAUCACUAAUUGUUAUUGGUCUCUGUACGAAAAUAGGAUCAUAUAUAUUGCCUUUAUUCUUGAAGAUAGGUGAAUAAUUCCAUUGUCCAUGAAUUGGUACCUUCCCGGUAUUAAAAAACAAGUUGAAUAAAGCUUGUGAUAGAUGGUUCAACAUUUCCUUAACCGUAUGUUUAAUAUGUUUUCAUUCAACAAUACCAUCAUAUCCGGAUAGCCUUAUGUUUUACAGUUUUUCGACGACAUUCAGAUUUUUCUUCUGUAUUGGAGAAUUUCAAAAUUCUGUUAAUGUUUCUCUGCGUGGACCUUUGAUAAAUCUAGUCUGAGUUGUCUCGAUGACUUCAAUCUUGGCUUUAGACGUUUGAAAUGUUCAUAUAAGCUCUUCAAUUUUAGCAGCAUCAGUUUUUAUUUGAAUUGUUGGUAUUCAAUACUAUUAAUGUUUGCCAUAGCCGUGUUUGGAGUCAGGAUUUAGCCAGUUUUCUAUAGAUCUUUUGCGGUAUUUCCAUUUGGAAAUCAUUUAUAACGUCCGUUUUAGUUCUUUUUUAUACGAUUUACUUGCUUCUUGUAAAUAUUUAUCAAGGGUACCAGAUUAAUAAUUAGAUACGCCAGACGUACGUUUCGUCUUUCAGUGACGCUUAGAUAAAACAUUUAGUAAGCCACAGCUGAGAGAAUUGCAUAACAACAGAAAUGUGGUAUUCAAUGUGUGCGGUAAUUUUUGAAACGGACACACAAACAUAUAUACCGCUUCCUCAAACCUUCGAAAUUAAACUAAAUUAUUAACCAACAUUUAACAAAAAAACAUAAUAUAAAAUUAUACAUUUCAAUCCUACAAUUGUCCAGAAAUAACCGGAUAAUCACAUAAACAGUUGAGAAAAAAACAUCAAACACUUGCAAAGUGAUUUGUGUUUGUACUGGCAGACAAAUCAGCCAGCUAUAUGGUUGUGGUACGAAGUAAAUACUACACGGAUGCCCUGGAGAAUAAAAUCAUGCAUUUAUCUACAUUAACUACGCUCCACAGAGUCAUAUAGUAAUAAUCAUUUCCCGACCAAAGCUCAUCAGCUAAAGGCCUCUUCUGUUAAAAGGCCAACGCUAUGUAUGGGUUAUCUCAACUAAUAGUUAUCAAAGUACCAGGAUUAUAAUUUACCUCAACUAAAAAAAGUGUCCUAAUACUAAUAUAUUCUGUCUGUGCUCUUAACGCGAUACGUAAGCAAUGAUCAAAUAACUGCUUUUACUUUUACCCUAUUUAUACCUAUUAUACUAUACACUUCCACAUCAUCUUAUCUCAAUAAAUUUCUCCUAUUUUAGUUAAUGGUCUUAUGCUUAAUCUGAUACCAAAAUAAACUCAUUUAAUAUAGAUACCAAGAUUAAAUUUUGUAUUUACGCCAGACGAUCGUUUAGUCUACAAAAGACUCAUCAGUGAUGCCUAAAUCCAAAAAAGACAAAAAGGCCAAAUAAAGUACGAAGUUGAAGUGCAUUAAGGACCAAAAGUCCUUAAAAAAAUUGCAAAAUACAGCUAAGAUAAUUUAUUCCAGAGGUAGAAAAGCCUAAGUAUUAAAAAUUCAAAUGUUUUAUAAUCAGUUAAUUUAUAUUGAUAAUUUAUGACAAAUUUGUUUGCUGCAAAGUAUGAACAAAUUGUAUCAUUUUUAUUUUAGACUCCCAUACCAAAAAGUUAAAUCACAAAAAUACUGAAUUCCGAGGAAAAAGCAAAACGGAAAGGCCCGAAUUAAAUGGCAUCAAACGAAUGGACAACAACUGUCAUAUUCCUGACUUGGUACAGGCAUUUUCAAAUGUAGAUAUUGGUGGAUUAAACCUGGUUUUAUAGCGCUAAAACUCUCACUUGUAUGACAGUCGCAUUAAAUUUCGUAGUAUUUACAACGAUGCGUGAAAAAAACAGACACAACAGGCAAAAUAGUCAAAACAUGGACUAGCCAUUUCCAUCAAAGAAAGACUCCAGAUCGUUUUGUAGAUAAUACAGCAAAUAAAAAGGGGGAUAAGUUUUCCCUGCUCACGUCCGAGUUAAGUAAAAACGGCGACACUUCGUUCCCAUUCCUUACGCAAUGAUUUAAACAUCACUAUACAUACUAUAUAUUACGUUUAAAAAUUUUUCCUCAGAAAAUUCGCCUUUUGUAAUUUUACAUCAUAAAGAUGUUGAGCGAUUGCAUCAAAGGCUCUCGAAAAUCAAAAAAGUGCAAAAGAGUUUUUUCCAAGUGUUGAUAAAUGAUAUUAAGGAUAUGUAAUACAAAUAUUUAUCCAAUGUCUAUAUCCUUUUCUGAAAAACUGUUUGAGCCUCGGAAUCAGAUUGACCUCAGUUGACAGUUCCCCAGUCUUUCAUUAAGAAUGAUGUGAAAGUUUUCCAAACAAUGAUACUAAGUAUUUGUCGUACGCAACUAGGCAUCAUAGAUAUUGCCUUAUUGCUUGAAGAUAGGUUGAAUAAUUCCCAUUGUCCCAUGAAUCUGGUACGCGUUGCCCGCUAUUUAAAACAAUGUGAAUAACUUGUGAUAGAUGCGUCAACAUUUCUUAACCGUAUGUUUAAUAUGUUCAUUCAACAAGUACCUAGUCAUAUCCGAAGCCUCUAUUGUUUUUAAGUUUUUGACGACAUUUCAAGAUUCUUUUCUGUGAUUGGAGAUUUAAAAUUCUGGUUAAUGUUCUCGCUGUGGUACCUUUGAUAAAUAUAAUGUCUGAGUUGUCUCGAUGACUUCAUCUUGCUUAGAACGGUUUUGAAAUGUUCAUAUAGGUCUUCAAAUUUAGCAGCAUCAGUUUUAUUUUGAUUUGUUGGUAUUAUACUAUUAAUUUUCCAUAAGCCGUUUUGGUCCAGAUUUAGCCCAGUUUUCUCUAAGAUCUUUUGCGGUAUUCAUUUGGAAAUCAUUAUAACUCCGAUUUAGUUCUUUUUUAUACGAUUUACUUGCUUCUUGUAAAUAUUUAUCAAGGGUACCAGAUUAAUAAUUAGAUACGCCAGACGUACGUUUCGUCUUUCAGUGACGCUUAGAUAAAACAUUUAGUAAGCCACAGCUGAGAGAAUUGCAUAACAACAGAAAUGUGGUAUUCAAUGUGUGCGGUAAUUUUUGAAACGGACACACAAACAUAUAUACCGCUUCCUCAAACCUUCGAAAUUAAACUAAAUUAUUAACCAACAUUUAACAAAAAAACAUAAUAUAAAAUUAUACAUUUCAAUCCUACAAUUGUCCAGAAAUAACCGGAUAAUCACAUAAACAGUUGAGAAAAAAACAUCAAACACUUGCAAAGUGAUUUGUGUUUGUACUGGCAGACAAAUCAGCCAGCUAUAUGGUUGUGGUACGAAGUAAAUACUACACGGAUGCCCUGGAGAAUAAAAUCAUGCAUUUAUCUACAUUAACUACGCUCCACAGAGUCAUAUAGUAAUAAUCAUUUCCCGACCAAAGCUCAUCAGCUAAAGGCCUCUUCUGUUAAAAGGCCAACGCUAUGUAUGGGUUAUCUCAACUAAUAGUUAUCAAAGUACCAGGAUUAUAAUUUACCUCAACUAAAAAAAGUGUCCUAAUACUAAUAUAUUCUGUCUGUGCUCUUAACGCGAUACGUAAGCAAUGAUCAAAUAACUGCUUUUACUUUUACCCUAUUUAUACCUAUUAUACUAUACACUUCCACAUCAUCUUAUCUCAAUAAAUUUCUCCUAUUUUAGUUAAUGGUCUUAUGCUUAAUCUGAUACCAAAAUAAACUCAUUUAAUAUAGAUACCAAGAUUAAAUUUUGUAUUUACGCCAGACGAUCGUUUAGUCUACAAAAGACUCAUCAGUGAUGCCUAAAUCCAAAAAAGACAAAAAGGCCAAAUAAAGUACGAAGUUGAAGUGCAUUAAGGACCAAAAGUCCUUAAAAAAAUUGCAAAAUACAGCUAAGAUAAUUUAUUCCAGAGGUAGAAAAGCCUAAGUAUUAAAAAUUCAAAUGUUUUAUAAUCAGUUAAUUUAUAUUGAUAAUUUAUGACAAAUUUGUUUGCUGCAAAGUAUGAACAAAUUGUAUCAUUUUUAUUUUAGACUCCCAUACCAAAAAGUUAAAUCACAAAAAUACUGAAUUCCGAGGAAAAAGCAAAACGGAAAGGCCCGAAUUAAAUGGCAUCAAACGAAUGGACAACAACUGUCAUAUUCCUGACUUGGUACAGGCAUUUUCAAAUGUAGAUAUUGGUGGAUUAAACCUGGUUUUAUAGCGCUAAAACUCUCACUUGUAUGACAGUCGCAUUAAAUUUCGUAGUAUUUACAACGAUGCGUGAAAAAAACAGACACAACAGCAAAAUAGUUCAAACAUUGGACUCAGCAGUGCAAGACUUGUCACAAGUCUGAAAACAAGAAAAUAUUGAUACAAAAAAUACAAAAAGCAAUCUAUCAAAUUAAAAAACCACGCAUUACACCUAAUUCAAUGUAAAUUGAUACAUUCCAACAACAAUUACGUUAGUCUCUAUGUAGGUCAGUGGUUGUCGCUGGUUUACCAUCUGCCCAUAUUUUUUUUUUCGCAACUGUUUAGUUCACAGAUUAGGUGUCCAAUCAAUAUUUCCAAAUUAAUUUUUCAUGUAUGGCUCUAAAACCCACUUCACGUACAUUUUGUUCCUUCUUGUUGAAACCGUAUGAUCGCAUAUUUUUGCUUACACCCACUUUGAUGAAGUUUGGUGGAAAGUUUGCUCAUAAUUAAUCAUACCACACCUUUAUAUAAUAUUAAAAAUUGACGACUUGCAGACUUUCUCAUUUAUCUUAUAUUGAUACGUCUUUCAAACAAACUCUUUUUAAAUUCAGGCUAUAAAUGGGUAAUUAGAGGAAACCCUGAUAGAGGUGAAUGUUCACUAGGUACAUACCAGCCUUAUGAACAUAGAAAUGUGAAAGCAAGUGCCUGUGUAUAUCAGAAGUCCCUUUGCAGUGAAGAAGGGCAAGUUGUAUUUGACAUGGGUAACACCAUCGAUGACCAAAAAUGUCGCUGCGAUUAUACAAGAGGAUACGAUUUUGUCGGAAAGCCAGGGAAUCGCUGUUAUUGUUACCCAUCAACGGAAGAUUGCUCCUGUUUCCUACGACGGUGUGAUAUCACAGGAGUCCGAUUGUCACAAG